AGCAGCCAUCAUUUAAAGAAAGCGUAAUAGCUCACUAGUCGAGUCGGCCUGCGCGGAAGAUUUAGCGGGGCUAAAGCGAUAUACCGAAGCUGCGGAUGUAUAUUAUAGAAUAUAUGUGGUAGGGGAGCGUUCUGUAAGCCUGUGAAGGUGGACUCGUAAGAGCUGCUGGAGGUAUCAGAAGUGCGAAUGUUGACAUAAGUAACGUUAAUGCGAGUGAAAGACUCGCACGCCGAAAGACCAAGGUUUCCUGUUCAACGUUAAUCGGAGCAGGGUGAGUCGGCCCCUAAGACGAGGCAGAGAUGCGUAGUCGAUGGGAAUCAGGUUAAUAUUCCUGAACUCUCGUAUCAUGCGAUGGAGGGACGGAGAAAGCUAGACCAGCUGGUGAUUGGUAUGCCAGUGUAAGCAAGUAGGUAGAGAUCUUAGGCAAAUCCGGGAUCUUAAUACUGAGAUGUGAAUGCGAGGAGCUUACGAGCUCCGGAGUGGUUGAUGCUAUGCUUCCAAGAAAAGCUUCUAAGCAAUAGUGAUAUGAGAACCGUACCCCAAACCGACACUGGUGGUUGGGAUGAGAAUUCUAAGGCGCUUGAGAGAACUCGGGYGAAGGAACUCGGCAAAAUCGUACCGUAACUUCGGGAGAAGGUACACCUUCCUUGGUGAAUGCUUUACGCAGUAAGCUGAGGAAGGUCGCAGUGAAAAGCUGGCUGCAACUGUUUAUCAAAAACACAGGACUCUGCAAACACGAAAGUGGACGUAUAGGGUCUGACGCCUGCCCGGUGCUGGAAGGUUAAUUGAUGGGGUUAGCGUAAGCGAAGCUC
rnacentral:rRNA from 1 species